CGUUGACGUCAAUGGCAACGCUACUUAUCAAUAGCACGGAUUUUACAGCUGAUACCCUGAUCCACUGUAUCAUUUCAAUCGUCCUAUCCUUAUCCGCUGUACCAAGUCAAUAGCUCAAUCCUUAUCUAGUGUACUAAUUCAAUUGUCCAUCCUUAUCUGAUGUAGCAAUUCAAUCGGAUUAUCCGUUUUACGAAUUCAAUAGCCUGGUCCUUAUCCGCUGUACUAAUUAUAUUGACGUGUCCGCUGUACCAAUUAAGAUCCCUUAUCCUUAUCUGAUGUACUAAUUAAACAGCACUAUUCCUAUUAGAUGUACUAUUUCAAACGCUUAUCCAUAUCCGAUGUACCAAUUCAAAUCGAAGCAGACCCCGUACAAAUGUGGCCGUCCGGGGAUUCCCGACUGCGCGGCGAUUGGUCAAUCCCGUGUCACGUGAUAAGGAAGCCUGUGCUAGGCCACGCCCCUCUGUUUUGAAUCUGUGGGUCUCUGUGUGCACUGUGGAAGUGACGUGAUGCAAUGGGGGCAAGGCAGUCACCUGCUGUUCGUGCCAAACCACCAGCUGUGACGUACCCCAGCGUGUCGAGUGAUGGGAUUCCGCUACCACCGCCUGCCUUCGAGAUCAGCCGCCUGCCUCUGGGUGACUACAGUCGCCCUGCCUUACCUGACUGAUCCUCUGUGGUAUCCGCCUCGUGGAUCUGGUUAUCAAACCACUACCACUACUACCACCACUACUACUACUACCACCACCACCACCUCCACUACCAC